AACACACCGGCCUGGCCCUCCAGGGGCUUUCCCUGUACAAGCCGCGACCCCUGUUUGAGAAACCGUGUAUUAAGGGCAUGUUGGUGCACAUAUCAGCAGAGAAUGAAAAGGGAUCAGGCCAAGGUCUUGGUGUCUUUGCAGUUACCGUCAGAAACCCUUCCCGCGUCAGCAACAUGAUAUCGUGGCUGAAUCUUCUCUUGAUUCUAGCAGCCCUUGCAGAUGUCCGGUCCCAGGUUCUUCUGGUGGAGUCCGGAGGUGGAAUUCAGAAGCCCGGGGAAUCUCUCCGCCUCUCCUGCAAAGCCUCUGGGUUCACCUUCACCAGCUACCAUAUGAGCUGGGUCCGUCAGGCGCCCGGAAAGGGCCUGGAGUGGGUCUCACGGAUAUACAACCCUGCUAAUAGCCACAGCACGUUUUACAGUGAUGCCGUUAAAGGGCGAUUCACCAUCUCCAGAGACGACUCCAACAGCCUGGUGUAUCUGCAAAUGACCAGCCUGAAAGCAGAAGACACCGGCCGCUAUUACUGUGCGAGAGACACAGCGAUCAGAAAUCAACUGCAGUGAAUACAAAAACCUCCUCCUCGAAUCCAAACAUUCUCAGCGCAGGCAGAGAGCAGCAGGCACUGACACGGCAGGGCAGUUUAAACACAGAUCAAUAGA